CAUGUAGGCGGUUUUGUAAGCCUGGUGUGAAAUCCUGCAGCUUAACUGUAGAAUUGCAUCGGGUACUGCGAGACUUGAAUCACGGAGGGGAAACUAGAAUUCCAGGUGUAGGGGUGGAAUCUGUAGAUAUCUGGAAGAAUACCGGUGGCGAAGGCGGGUUUCUAGCCGAUGAUUGACGCUGAGGUGCGAAAGUGCGGGGAGCAAACA
rnacentral:rRNA from 1 species